CGGUGUUGAGCGGUGGCGGCCUCCGAAUCUAACAUGUGUAAAAGUGAACUUUGAUGUUGUUUUCCAUGCGUCUGCAAAGACUUCCUGUGCGGGUAUUGUCAUUAGGGAUCAUUUGGGCAUGGUGAUGGGUCCACAAUCAGUGGUCACGUACCUUCGUCUUUUGCUGCAGAGGCCCUGGCUUGCUAUCAUGGAUUCGACUGGUUCUGGGGCUGGGGUUGCAUGAGGCUAUUUUUGAAGGUGAUUCUCUCAUGGCGAUCCGCAAGAUCCUAUCUCCUUAUCAUGAUAUGUCGGCCCUUGGGCCUUACAUCAAAGGUAUCAAUGCAAUGGCUGUGUAGUUUCGUUGGUGUUGAUUCGUGCAUGUUCCCCGAGCUACAAAUCAGGUGGCCCAUCUAUUGGUAGCUGCGAGUCUCCCGGGAGGGGAUCAUGCUUAAUAGGCGGGAGGGGUGCCUCUCUUUGCUUCGACAAUAGUGGAUAAUGAUAGUUGUGCCUUCCGAUCGGAUGAGUGUGGGAGAUGGAGUAUCUUUUUACAAGGAUCUGAUUCGGGGGUGGGGAUUGGAGGUGGGAGGAGCUCAAGAGUUUGUGGAAUCCGCGGGGUUGGGGAAGAGUUUGAUCGUCUCUGUUGGGGUACAGGUUCUCGUUCGUUAAUCAAGCCUCUUGGGUGUGGUAGGUAGUGGUUCGACGAUCUCUUAACGGUUACCGGAGAAGAUUUUCUGAUCUGUCGACAUCAGUGGCGUCCCUUCAGCUUUUUGUUUUCUUUCUAGAAGGUUUAGAUGACAACUCAAAAUUAGGAUUUGGCAUUGCUGUUUUUGCCUUUUGUUUGGGCUGUUUAAUCUGGACUUUUGUUUGGGUUUUUAGGGUUUUUUUUUGGAUUUAUUUUUUUUCUUUGUUUUUGGACUGUUUUCUGUACUAGUUUCGUUUUUAAUCAAAGCCCAGUUUCCUUUAAAAAAAAAUAUUUCAUCAACUAUUUGGUCAUCUUAUUCCUUUCUUAAACUCUCCUUUCUCAUUCGCAAACAGUUGAUUUGAAUUAAAUGUUUGUAUUAAAUUUUCAUUCAUUCAACCACAACUAGAGCAACCCA
rnacentral:lncRNA from 1 species